rnacentral:rRNA from 1 species
AAACUUUCAACAAUGGAUCUCUUGGUUCUCGCAUCGAUGAAGAACGCAGCGAAAUGCGAUAAGUAAUGUGAAUUGCAGAAUUCCGUGAAUCAUCAAAUUUUUGAACGCCAAUUGCACUUCUCGGUAUUCCGAGAAGUACACCUGCUUGAGGGUCAGUUAAAAAAUAU